rnacentral:piRNA from 1 species
CUAUCCAGAUAGAGAACUCCAGG